CUUCACGUGUUCCAUUCUACACUCAAACCACAUCUAAGGCACUUUGCAUUAACCUGAAGGCAGCUGCCUUCCCAUCAAUGUUGCAGAGGCUGCACAGAAGGUACAGUGUUGCUGCUCUGAAUUCUUUAUAACACAUCGAUGGAAACUACAGACUGAAGAGACAUGGCAGACUUCUGCAACCAGUGGAACCACCAUGGUUUAAGGACUGAGGCACCAGUCCCCUCUGCAGAUUUUCAUUAGGACUUGCCUUGCACAACAAAUGCUACCUAACACUUCACGGUUCAGGACGGGGCCGUUCAGGACGGGGCGGCUCAGGAUUUUUGCAAAAGAUCAUUCAAAAAAACAUCACAUUUAAAAGCAAACCUUAAUA